CGAUUGGGGCUGCUACCAUGCGAGUCGAACGAUGAACCGCUUCGGUGGUGGAUUAGUGGCGAACGGGUGAGUAACACGUGGGCAAUCUGCCCUUCACUCUGGGACAAGCCCUGGAAACGGGGUCUAAUACCGGAUAAUACUCCUGCCUGCGUGGGUGGGGGUUGAAAGCUCCGGCGGUGAAGGAUGAGCCCGCGGCCUAUCAGCUUGUUGGUGGGGUAAUGGCCUACCAAGGCGACGACGGGUAGCCGGCCUGAGAGGGCGACCGGCCACACUGGGACUGAGACACGGCCCAGACUCCUACGGGAGGCAGCAGUGGGGAAUAUUGCACAAUGGGCGAAAGCCUGAUGCAGCGACGCCGCGUGAGGGAUGACGGCCUUCGGGUUGUAAACCUCUUUCAGCAGGGAAGAAGCGCAAGUGACGGUACCUGCAGAAGAAGCGCCGGCUAACUACGUGCCAGCAGCCGCGGUAAUACGUAGGGCGCAAGCGUUGUCCGGAAUUAUUGGGCGUAAAGAGCUCGUAGGCGGCUUGUCACGUCGGAUGUGAAAGCCCGGGGCUUAACCCCGGGUCUGCAUUCGAUACGGGCUAGCUAGAGUGUGGUAGGGGAGAUCGGAAUUCCUGGUGUAGCGGUGAAAUGCGCAUAUAUCAGGAGGAACACCGGUGGCGAAGGCGGAUCUCUGGGCCAUUACUGACGCUGAGGAGCGAAAGCGUGGGGAGCGAACAGGAUUAGAUACCCUGGUAGUCCACGCCGUAAACGUUGGGAACUAGGUGUUGGCGACAUUCCACGUCGUCGGUGCCGCAGCUAACGCAUUAAGUUCCCCGCCUGGGGAGUACGGCCGCAAGGCUAAAACUCAAAGGAAUUGACGGGAGCCCGCACAAGCAGCGGAGCAUGUGGCUGAAUUCGACGCAACGCGAAGAGCCUUACCAAGGCUUGACAUAUACCGGAAAGCAUCACAGAUGGUGCCCCCCUUGUGGUCGGUAUACAGGUGGUGCAUGGCUGUCG
rnacentral:rRNA from 1 species